AGUCAAGAGGGUUGUCCAAGGGAAGUUGUCCAAAGAAGUCAAUGAAAAUGGGCUGACAUUGACAGGAUUCCUGUUUCUCCAUAGGCUGUUCAUUGAAAAAGGAUGUCCGGAGAAAACUUGGACCGUUCACAGGAAGUUUGGUUAUGACAAUGAUAUCAAACUAGCAGAGAACCUAAUUCCAUGUUCAUUUAAAAGAAGUCCUGAUCAGAGCGUGGAGCUGACAAAUGAAGCUAUUGAGUAUCUCAAGGGGAUAUUUGAGUUAUUUGACAUUGAUGAAGACAGGGCUCUACAACCUAUUGAAAUCGAGGAUCUCUUCUCCACUGCACCAGAAUG